rnacentral:rRNA from 1 species
GACGAACGCUGGCGGCGUGCUUAACACAUGCAAGUCGAGCGGUAAGGCCUCUUCGGGGGUACACGAGCGGCGAACGGGUGAGCAACACGUGGGUGACCUGCCCUCAGCUCUGGGAUAAGCCUGGGAAACUGGGUCUAAUACCGCAUAUGACCUCUCAUCGCAUGGUGGGUGGUGGAAAGUUUUUUCGGCUGGGGAUGGGCCCGCGGCCUAUCAGCUUGUUGGUGGGGUGAUGGCCUACCAAGGCGACGACGGGUAGCCGGCCUGAGAGGGCGACCGGCCACACUGGGACUGAGAUACGGCCCAGACUCCUACGGGAGGCAGCAGUGGGGAAUAUUGCGCAAUGGGCGAAAGCCUGACGCAGCGACGCCGCGUGGGGGAUGACGGCCUUCGGGUUGUAAACCUCUUUCGACCGGGACGAAGGGUGACUGACGGUACCGGUAGAAGAAGCACCGGCCAACUACGUGCCAGCCGCCGCCGUAAGAC